rnacentral:misc_RNA from 1 species
GCAUCUCUUUCUUGUCCCUAACCGUACGAGCCAUUCCGUUCCGGCAAUUGAUUUAUUUAGAAUCCAUAUUUAAGCAAAGUGUGGUUUUGGAUAAGUUUGUGAAAAAUUAACGGCUAUGGAUGUUUUGAUUUUAAGUUUAGUUCCUCUGGGAUUUAGAAUUCCCUCAAAUUCAAAAGUUCCCAUUUCCGGAUUCUAAUUGCAAUUUCAUUUUUUGCUGUGAUCGAACGGUGGAAAUGGCUCUUCAAGAUACAGAAAAUUUGAAUUCUAUUCCCAGUACAAACUAAAGGAGUAGAAACAUUCCCCAUUGAGUUAUAUUUUUUUUAUUAGACUUGCAAUAUUUUCUACUGCCAUUGAUUAUCCUCCAGAGAAAGGGCGUUUAAGAUGUUUGGUCAUGUUCAAUAUCUCUCAUCAAUGGAAUAUCUCUGUAGGGAAGUGUAAUGAGUUACACUAUGUUUGGAUCAUGGUUUGUGAUGAUUUCAUAUUGUAUAGUAUGGUUACUCUAUAUAUUUGGGAAGACUGUUACUAAAAAAUUGAUGGUUGAUUUUCAAAACACCAAAUUGGUGGUUUGGAAUGGUUUAGAAAUUUUGUAUUCCCAUUCUAUCCUUGAAUAAUUCAUUCUCUCAUGAAAAUGUUAUAUAUGAAGAUAUAUUUAGUGA